rnacentral:rRNA from 1 species
GACGAACGCUGGCGGCGUGCUUAACACAUGCAAGUCGAACGGAAAGGCCCUGCUUUUGUGGGGUGCUCGAGUGGCGAACGGGUGAGUAACACGUGAGUAACCUGCCCUUGACUUUGGGAUAACUUCAGGAAACUGGGGCUAAUACCGGAUAGGAGCUCCUGCUGCAUGGUGGGGGUUGGAAAGAUUCGGCGGUUGGGGAUGGACUCGCGGCUUAUCAGCUUGUUGGUGGGGUAGUGGCUUACCAAGGCUUUGACGGGUAGCCGGCCUGAGAGGGUGACCGGCCACAUUGGGACUGCGAUACGGCCCAGACUCCUACGGGAGGCAGCAGUGGGGAAUAUUGCACAAUGGGCGGAAGCCUGAUGCGGCAACGCCGCGUGCGGGAUGACGGCCUUCGGGUUGUAAACCGCUUUCGCCUGUGACGAAGCGUGAGUGACGGUAAUGGGUAAAGAAGCACCGGCUAACUACGUG